AUGUGUUAUGCAAAUCAAGUCUCACGCACAGCGCAACUUUUGCUAGCCUGUCAAUCAUCCAAUAUCAUCGGCCGUACGUCCAUCAGCUCGGAGAAGACCGUCCAUCAAUCGUUAUCAACCAGUGCUACGAAGAUGAGUUCCUCCGACGACCUCGCCGGUGGAAAGAAGACUUCGUGGCCGGAGGUGGUGGGGCUGAGCAUCAAGGAGGCCAAGGAGAUCAUCCUGAAGGACAAGCCCGACGCCGACAUUGUCAUGGUGCCGGUCGGCUCCGCCGUGACCGAGGACUUGAGGCCCAACCGUGUCCGCAUCUUCGUGGGCACCGUCGCCGAGACCCCCCACGUUGUAUAG
rnacentral:rRNA from 1 species